rnacentral:rRNA from 1 species
AGCAGCCGCGGUAAUUCCAGCUCCAAUAGCGUAUAUUAAAGUUGUUGCAGUUAAAAAGCUCGUAGUUGAAUUUCGGGAUCAAUAUGUCGGUCGUGCCUUCGGUACGUACUGGUAUCAUUGGUCUCUCCUUUCUGACGAACCAUGAUGUCAUUAAUUUGGUGUUAUGGGGAGUUAGGACUGUUACUUUGAAAAAAUUAGAGUGUUUAAAGCAGGCUUUAGCUUGAAUACAUUAGCAUGGAAUAAUGAAAUAGGACGUUCGAACCUAUUUUGUUGGUUUCUAGGAUCAACGUAAUGAUUAAUAGGGAUAGUUGGGGGCAUUAGUAUUCAAUUGUCAGAGGUGAAAUUCUUGGAUUUAUUGAAGACUAACUACUGCGAAAGCAUUUGCCAAGGAUGUUUUCAUUAAUCAAGAACGAAAGUUAGGGGAUCGAAGACGAUCAGAUACCGUCGUAGUCUUAACCAUAAACUAUGCCGACUAGGGAUCGGAUGAUGUUAAUUUUUUAAUGUACUCAUUCGGCG